rnacentral:rRNA from 1 species
AAAAUCCCCAAACCUUUCUUCUUCUUCCUCUGCUCGGAUUUCAUUCCAGUUCACCAGACCAAACCCUACCCUGCUUCCCCAAUCCCCAAUCCCCAAUCCAUGGAGGAGGAAGCCCCCAUGAGGCGUAGUAGAUCCGUCGGAUCCGGCGACCAGCAGGCACCACCGGGGGCGGGGGGCGGCAGGGAGGAGCAUGGAGGCCUCGACGUCGACGACCUCAUCAGCCGCCUUCCCGACGAGGUGCUCGGCACCGUCGUCUCGCUCCUCCCCACCAAGGACGGCGCGCGCACGCAGGCCCUCUCCCGCCGCUGGCGUCCCCUAUGGCUCUCGCCCAACGCGCCGCUCCACCUCGGUGAUGACGUCGACAUCCUCGACCUCCCGAUCCCCAGGAUCCUCUCCGACCACCCAGGCCCGGCCCGGCGCGUCUCGCUCUACCGCAGGUUCCUCCCCGACGAGAUCGACGGCUGGUUCCGCUCCGGGUCCCUCUCCGGCCUCCAGCACCUCGAGGUCGACAAUCUGGAAUGGGACCACCAACUGCCGCUGCCG